rnacentral:rRNA from 1 species
CAGUAGCCGCGGGAAUACGUAGGUGGCAAGCGUUGUCCGGAUUUAUUGAGCGUAAAGCGAGCGCAGGCGGUCAAUUAAGUCUGAUGUGAAAGCCCCCGGCUCAACCGGGGAGGGUCAUUGGAAACUGGUUGACUUGAGUGCAGAAGAGGAGAGUAGAAUUCCAUGUGUAGCGGUGAAAUGCGUAGAUAUAUGGAGGAACACCAGUGGCGAAGGCGACUCUCUGGUCUGUAACUGACGCUGAGGAGCGAAAGCGUGGGGAGCGAACAGGAUUAGAGACCCCGGUAGUCCCUGUCUCUUAUAC